UCAGGAUGAACGCUGGCGGCGUGCCUAACACAUGCAAGUCGAGCGAUUUUCUUCGGAAGAGGGCGGCGGACGGGUGAGUAACGCGUGGGUAACCUGCCCUGUACACACGGAUAACAUACCGAAAGGUAUGCUAAUACGGGAUAACAUAAGAAAGUCGCAUGGCUUUCUUAUCAAAGCUUUUGCGGUACAGGAUGGACCCGCGUCUGAUUAGCUAGUUGGUAAGGUAACGGCUUACCAAGGCGACGAUCAGUAGCCGACCUGAGAGGGUGAUCGGCCACAUUGGAACUGAGACACGGUCCAAACUCCUACGGGAGGCAGCAGUGGGGAAUAUUGCACAAUGGGCGAAAGCCUGAUGCAGCAACGCCGCGUGAGCGAUGAAGGCCUUCGGGUCGUAAAGCUCUGUCCUCAAGGAAGAUAAUGACGGUACUUGAGGAGGAAGCCCCGGCUAACUACGUGCCAGCAGCCGCGGUAAUACGUAGGGGGCUAGCGUUAUCCGGAAUUACUGGGCGUAAAGGGUGCGUAGGCGGUCUUUCAAGUCAGAAGUGAAAGGCUACGGCUCAACCGUAGUAAGCUUUUGAAACUGUAAGACUUGAGUGCAGGAGAGGAGAGUGGAAUUCCUAGUGUAGCGGUGAAAUGCGUAGAUAUUAGGAGGAACACCAGUUGCGAAGGCGGCUCUCUGGACUGUAACUGACGCU
rnacentral:rRNA from 1 species